rnacentral:rRNA from 1 species
CCUACGGGGGGCUGCAGUGAGGAAUAUUGCACAAUGGGGGAAACCCUGAUGCAGCAACGCCGCGUGAAGGAUGAAGGCUUUCGGGUUGUAAACUUCUUUUCUGGGGGAAGAGGAAGGACGGUACCCUAGGAAUAAGACACGGCUAACUACGUGCCAGCAGCCGCGGUAAUACGUAGGUGUCGAGCGUUAUCCGGAAUUACUGGGCGUAAAGGGCACGCAGGCGGCUGUUCAAGUUCGACGUGAAAUCUCCUGGCUUAACCGGGAGAAGCCGUUGGAAACUGAAUGGCUUGAGGCAAUGAGAGGGAUGCGGAAUUCCCGGUGUAGUGGUGGAAUGCGUAGAUAUCGGGAAGAACACCAGUGGCGAAAGCGGCAUCCUGGCAUUGAACUGACGCUCAUGUGCGAAAGCGUGGGUAGCGAACGGGCUUAGAUACCCCUGUAGUC